rnacentral:rRNA from 2 species
ACAGUGGACGCGAGCAUCUGUGGCCAAGUUUUUAAGGGCGCACGGUGGAUGCCUUGGCACCA